UCGCCUGUUUUAUCAAAAACAUUUCUAUUAGAUAAUUUAUUAAUAGUAAAAUCUGCUCAAUGAAAAUUUAAAUAGCCGCAUAUGUGCUAAGGUAGCAUAAUCAUUUGUCUUUUAAUUAAAGACUAGAACAAAAGAUUUAACUUUUAAAUUAAUUUUUUAAAUUUAAUUAUUUAAAUUUUCUUAAAUGUAAAAAGACAUUUAUACUUUAAAAAGACGAUAAGACCCUAUCGAACUUUUACUUUAGUUAAACUGGGGUAGUUAAUUAAUUAUAAUUUUAAUUUUAAAUAAAAUUUAAAUAUUAGACCUAAUAUAAUUAAUCAAAUAAUCAAGUUACCGUAGGGAUAACAGCGUAAUAAAAUUUUUAAGUUCUCAUUUUAAAUAAAGAUUGCGACCUCGAUGUUGAUUUAAUUACCUAAUUCACGCAAUAGUAAAUUAAGGAAGUCUGUUCGACUUUUAAAAAAUUACAUGAUCUGAGUUCCAAACCGGA
rnacentral:rRNA from 1 species